AGAUGUGAAAAGCCCGGGGCGUCAACCUCGGAAUAGCAUUUGAAACUAGGCAGACUAGAGUACUGUAGAGGGGGGUAGGAAGUUUCAGGUGUAGCGGUGAAAUGCGUAGAGAUCUGAAGGAAUACCGGUGGCGAAGGCGGCCCCCUCGGACAGAUACUGACACUCAGAUGCGAAAGCGUGGGGAGCAAACAGGAUUAGAUACCCUGGUAG
rnacentral:rRNA from 1 species